rnacentral:rRNA from 1 species
CUACGGGUCGCAGCAGUGAGGAAUAUUGCACAAUGGGGGGAACCCUGAUGCAGCAACGCCGCGUGGAGGAUGACGCAUUUCGGUGUGUAAACUCCUUUUAUAUGUCAAGAAAAUGACGGUAGCAUAUGAAUAAGCACCGGCUAACUCCGUGCCAGCAGCCGCGGUAAUAGGGAGGGUGCAAGCGUUACUGGAAUCACUGGGCGUAAAGGACGCGUAGGCGGGUUGGAAAGUCAGGUGUGAAAUCCUACAGCUUAACUGUAGAACUGCACUUGAAACUUCUAAUCUAGAGUAUGGGAGGGGGAGAUGGAAUUAGUGGUGUAGGGGUAAAAUCCGUAGAUAUCACUAGGAAUACCUAAAGCGAAGGCGAUCUCCUGGAACAUUACUGACGCUAAGGCGUGAAAGCGUGGGGAGCAAACAGGAUUAGAUACCCCCGUAGUC